AUUUAUCCUAAGACUUCAGUUAAGAAGAAAUGGACAUAAGGUCUCAGUUUGCUUAAUCGAGCUUUGAGUUAGAAUGGAAGUUAUCUCCGAAGGGAGAGACGUUUCAAUAGGUGUAUUAUUUUGUCAAUACUCCUGCCCCAGCUCAAAUGCAGAUGUCUCCCAUGGGCCCGUGUGCUUCAGUACGUGUCUUCCAGCUGGUGGUGCUAUUUGAUUUGGCAGAGAACACCGGAGUGCACCUGAGACCAUCGUGGAUUUGAGAGCAAUUGUGUAUGGGUCGUGCACUUCCGAAAUGCUACGGACGUCCAGAGGGAAACGACGUUGCAGUAUGACCAGGGAAGGGGAAAGAUGCUGCAGCUGAGUCGUUAUGUCGUCUGUCCCACCUCCUAGCUCUGGCCGAGUCCAAACUCAUGAUUCUUUUGCAUCAGCGUCUCACGCUCUAGGAUUGCAGGCCUGUGCCAUCGUGUCUGGAUUUAUUAUAUACUCGUUAGAAAUAAUUGUCUUUUAAUUUAUUCGCACGUAAAUGGCGAUGACCUGAAAAUUGACAUUUUAAAAAGAAACUGUAACACGCAAUCCACAUUCUUUCACCUCUCCAUUGGCCUCUGGUUCUGUCAGAUCUUGGCCGGUUCACGCCAUUAUCGGGAAGAAAAGAAAAAUCCCCAGCCUGUUCAACAGGCACCAGCAGGCUGGAGAAGGAAGAUGGAUAUGUGUUACAUGCAUAUUAAUUUCUCUUCUCUUAUGCGGUCUCAGAAGUGGAAAAAUUCUGUUGUAGUUGAGUGGGUGGUGGCAGCACACCUCUCCACAUCUAAUUUCAUAAAUAUGUGUUUCAAUUACCUUUUGCAGAUGAAA